GACGAACGCUGCGGCGUGCCUAAUACAUGCAAGUCGAGCGAAGUUUUUCUGGUGCUUGCACCGGAAAAACUUAGCGGCGAACGGGUGAGUAACACGUAAAGAACCUGCCUUAUAGACUGGGACAACUAUUGGAAACGAUAGCUAAUACCGGAUAACAGCAUUAACUGCAUGGUUGAUGUUUGAAAGUUGGUUUUGCUAACACUAUGAGAUGGCUUUGCGGUGCAUUAGCUAGUUGGUGGGGUAAAGGCCUACCAAGGCGACGAUGCAUAGCCGACCUGAGAGGGUGAUCGGCCACACUGGGACUGAGACACGGCCCAGACUCCUACGGGAGGCAGCAGUAGGGAAUCUUCCGCAAUGGGCGAAAGCCUGACGGAGCAACGCCGCGUGAGUGAAGAAGGAUUUCGGUUCGUAAAGCUCUGUUGUUAGGGAAGAAUGAUUGUGUAGUAACUAUACACAGUAGAGACGGUACCUAACCAGAAAGCCACGGCUAACUACGUG
rnacentral:rRNA from 1 species